UACGUAGGGUGCGAGCGUUGUCCGGAAUUAUUGGGCGUAAAGGGCUCGUAGGCGGUUUGUCGCGUCGGGAGUGAAAACCUUGGGCUUAACUCAGGGCUUGCUUUCGAUACGGGCAGACUAGAGGUAUGCAGGGGAGAACGGAAUUCCUGGUGUAGCGGUGAAAUGCGCAGAUAUCGGGAGGAACACCGGUGGCGAAGGCGGCGACCUGGGUAGAUACUGACGCUGAGGUGCGAAAGCGUGGGGAGCAAACAGG
rnacentral:rRNA from 1 species